UACAGAGGUCUCAAGCGUUGUUCGGAUUCAUUGGGCGUAAAGGGUGCGUAGGUGGCGCGCUAAGUCGGGUGUGAAAUCCCGGGGCUUAACCUCGGGACUGCAUUCGAUACUGGCGUGCUUGAGGACUGGAGAGGAGACUGGAAUUCAUGGUGUAGCAGUGAAAUGCGUAGAGAUCAUGAGGAAGACCAGUGGCGAAGGCGGGUCUCUGGACAGUUCCUGACACUGAGACACGAAGGCCAGGGAGCAAACGGG
rnacentral:rRNA from 1 species